UCCCCGAACUGCGGCGGCGGUGGCGGCGAGCGCGUCCCGGCAGAGCUGCUGCUGCCGCCGCGGGCACCGGAGUGCCGAGCCCAGGACGCCCCGACCCAGGCCCGCGGUUGGACAAAUCCUUCUCCCCUCGUCAGAGUGUGUGGAGGAGUGAUGGGCAGAAACAGCGAUUCCCUCAGGCACUAGACCUGUCACCAGUGGACUCAGUUCCUUCCCACACUGCUUCACCCUACCCUAAGAACACAGAUCUGUUUGAGAUGAUUGAAAAGAUGCAGCGAAGCAGGAUGGAUGAACAACGAUGUACCUUCCCACCACCCCUCAAAACAGAGGAAGACUACAUUCCCUACCCGAGUGUCCAUGAGGUCCUGGGGCGAGAAGGGCCCUUCCCCCUUAUCCUGCUGCCCCAGUUUGGAGGCUACUGGAUUGAAGGCACCAACCAUGAACUCACCAGCAUCCCCGAGACAGAGCCUCUUCAGUCACCCACCACCAAGGUGAAACUGGAGUGCAACCCCACAGCUCGCAUCUACCGGAAGCACUUUCUGGGCAAGGAACACUUCAAUUACUACUCAGUGGACACUGCCCUUGGCCACCUGGUCUUCUCGCUCAAGUAUGAUGUUAUCGGGGAUCAAGAGCACUUGCGGCUGCUGCUCAGGACCAAGUGCCGAACAUACCAUGAUGUCAUCCCCAUCUCCUGCCUCACCGAGUUCCCCAAUGUGGUCCAAAUGGCAAAGCUGGUAUGUGAAGAUGUCAACGUGGAUCGAUUCUACCCUGUGCUCUACCCCAAGGCUUCCCGACUCAUUGUCACCUUUGAUGAGCAUGUUAUCAGCAAUAACUUCAAAUUUGGAGUCAUUUAUCAGAAGCUUGGGCAGACCUCUGAGGAAGAACUCUUUGGCACCAAUGAGGAAAGUCCUGCAUUCGUGGAGUUCCUCGAGUUUCUGGGCCAGAAAGUCAAACUGCAGGACUUCAAGGGGUUCCGAGGAGGCCUGGAUGUGACCCAUGGGCAGACGGGGACCGAGUCUGUGUACUGCAACUUCCGCAACAAGGAGAUCAUGUUUCACGUGUCCACCAAGCUGCCCUACACAGAAGGGGACGCCCAGCAGUUGCAGCGGAAGCGGCAUAUUGGGAACGACAUUGUGGCUGUGGUCUUCCAGGAUGAGAACACACCCUUCGUGCCUGACAUGAUCGCAUCCAACUUCCUGCACGCCUACGUGGUGGUGCAGGCUGAGGGGGGUGGCCCCGAUGGCCCCCUCUACAAGGUCUCAGUCACUGCAAGAGAUGAUGUGCCCUUCUUUGGGCCCCCGCUCCCGGACCCUGCUGUGUUCAGGAAGGGGCCUGAGUUUCAGGAAUUUCUGCUGACGAAGCUGAUCAAUGCCGAGUAUGCUUGCUACAAAGCUGAGAAGUUUGCCAAGCUGGAGGAGCGGACCAGAGCUGCCCUUCUGGAAACACUCUAUGAAGAACUCCACAUCCACAGCCAGUCCAUGAUGGGCCUGGGUGGUGAUGAAGACAAGAUGGAGAACGGCGGUGGUGGUGGCGGCUUCUUUGAGUCUUUCAAGCGGGUCAUCCGGAGCCGUAGCCAGUCCAUGGACGCCAUGGGACUAAGCAACAAGAAGCCCAACACUGUGUCUACCAGCCACAGUGGGAGUUUCACCCCCAACAACCCCGAUCUGGCCAAGGCAGCUGGAAUAUCAUUGCUUAUUCCCGGGAAAAGCGCGAGUAGAUUCGGACGCCGGGGCAGCGCCUUAGGCAUAGGAGCUGUGGAAGAGUCCCUGAUUGUCCCUGGGAAGAGCCCCACAAGGAAGAAGUCAGGCCCAUUUGGCUCUCGCCGCAGUAGCGCCAUUGGCAUUGAGAACAUCCAGGAGGUGCAGGAGAAGAGCUGCCCUGGCACCUUGCAGAUCAAGACACAGCUCGGUGCUGAGUCCCCAUGCUGCCUCCAUGUGCUCCACAGGGAGAGCCCUCCGGCUGGCCAGAAGACCCCAGACAGUGGACACGUCUCACAGGAGCCCAAAUCAGAGAACUCUUCUACCCAGAGCUCCCCAGAGAUGCCUACAACCAAGAACAGAGCCGAGACAGCCGCCCAGAGAGCAGAAGUGCUGCAGGGCUUUUCCCGCUCCUCAUCCAGCGCCAGCAGCUUUGCCAGUGUGGUGGAGGAGACAGAGGGUGUAGACGGGGAUGACACAGGCCUGGAGAGCGUGUCGUCCUCAGGAACGCCCCAUAAGCGGGACUCCUUCCUCUACAGCACGUGGCUGGAUGACAGCGUGAGCACCACGAGUGGGGGCAGCUCCCCAGUGAGGUGGCUCCCUCCUGCCCCCCUUCCCAGGCCCCACACGGUCACCCCACCCAGACACCGGCAAGUCGGGGGACCCUGCAUGUCCCGAGAUCAAGAUCCAACUGGAAGCAUCUGAGCAGCACACACCCCAGCUGGGCUGCUAGCUGCCACCCUACCUGGAAGGUGAGACUGAGCAGAUGAGGCCGCAGAAGCACAAGGAGAUGCUGCACUUCACCCAGGCGGCUGGUGCUCUGCCCCAUAGCCACCCCAGCCCCUGGUUCCCCUGCUUCCAAUCCCCCUGGCCCACCCAUUUGGGCUGUCUCCGCAGGGCGGAGCCAUCCAGAGCUGGGAGCAGAUGUCUGCUGCUACUGCCCCCCAGGCUUGGGGGUCUGGGUCU